UGCUCUUUCGUCUCUAUCAUUACUGUUCGUGAGGAACUUCUCUUUUCUACUCGAUUAAUCCAUUCAUGGUGAGUUUUCGAUCAUCCAAGUGUAUUAAAUCUGUUCUGUUUUCUUCAACUCAUACUCGCAAUUUGCCAUUCUCUAAUGAGAAUCAAAACCUAGAUUACGAAACCUGCACGCGGGAAAUGUAUGCAUUCAAUUGAUCUUAGGGUAGGAUUUCAUAUACAAUUUGUUUCUGUCUAAACUAUCAUUUCCUAUUCUCCUGAAUUUUGCUGAUGGUUGUGUUGUCCCUGUAGCUUCGAAUCGGACAGCGAAAUUUGCUAGGAGAGUUUCAAUUUCAAAUUCUGUCGGGGAUUCAUUUGGUAUUGCACUCGCUUUUUCUCUUCGCACUCGCUUUCUUUUUUUCUCUCUCCUAGGGUUUGCUCCGCCAUUGACCCACUGUUCACCGCAAAGUCAAGCUCAAUUUACAUGGGCUCUAAUUAGUUGGGCAGAACAUGUCCAAUCACCAAGGGGGUGAUACUGAAUAUAUGGCGGAUGAAUGUGAAAUGGAAGAUGUAGAAGAUGGCAUGGACGAUGAAUCUAUUAAUAGAGAACGGGGUGGUGUAGAGUCUGACACAGAUGAAUAUGAUAACUCGAGUGGUAAGGUAGUUACAGGCUUACAGCUGCUGAGGCUAGAAGAGGACAAGACAUCCAGGGAAUUCCUUGGAAUAGCCUUGGCAUCACUAUAGAAAGAUAUCGAAAAACUAGGCUUGAGCAAUACAGAAAUUAUGAACAUAUCCCUGGUUCAGGGGACAAGGCAGGGAAGGAUUGUAAGGUCUUAUAUCAAUGAGGAGGCAAGGUCUAUUGGGAUAUGUUGCAAAUAAAUUUGAAUUGAACAUAUUAAUUAUUAAUCACCUUUUACACACAAUUGGUUGGUUGAGAAAUACUUUUUUUUUGUAUCUAAAAAGAAUUCUAUUUACUGUGAUUUAUUCCGAUCAGAAUUUCAUAUGGCAUGUAUAUGCAUAGCCUGGUCCCCUAAAAAAUCUGUAUAAGAUUGCUUUGAUAUAAACCUUUGCUCAUGACUGUUAAAUGUUGAUGUAUGAAUGAUUAAGCGUUAAAAUUUUGUUUUGCUUCAUUCUUAAGUGGUUAGGGCUUAUGUUUAGCUUAUCCUGUCAAUGGUUAAACAUUAGUUUAUUUCUCCCAAGCAGAUAAACAAUAAGGUAUUGCUUUUACUAUGUGGUUAAGAUUUGUUGUCUAAUGUGGCGUUUGAAGAUUGCUGCCAAAUUUAAUUUUAUAUAGGGCACUGUUUAUGGUGACAGCCAGACCUCCAAAUUGCAGACCAAAGAACUUGAAUAGAGAGAAACAUAAGUAGCAUCUCAACUUUAGGAUUAUGAAAGAAAAAAAAAAGAAGAAAAGUUUACCUUGCAUCAUUGAAUUAAAACAUUAUCAGCCAAUACAGAUAAAAAUAAGUUGAAAUUCAAUUCUAAACACGCAGAUGAAAGAAAGUAGCUAGGACUAGGAAACAUAUAUGUUUCAGUUGCUUUUUUAUACCUAUAUUAUGUAAUAAAAUUCCCAAAACAAUAACAAAUAUCAAUUUAAUUACAAACAACCCUUCCGAAGCAAAACUUGUGUUAUACAUCAACUUAGUUUUAGUAUAUAGUUUACCUUAAACAAUCAUAGUUGUGAAGACAGACUUAGAUGAAUAGCUAAAUUCUCUUGAUAAAAAUUAAUUAUCACAAAAUUGAUAAAUAUUUUAUCCCAACAAUAUAAUUAAAAAUAACUUAAAAUACCGGAAUCACCCAAAAAAAAAUAAAUGAAUUAUAUAGUACUAAUUAUGCUCCACAAAGGUUCCCUGAAAAUGAAUUGACUGAUAGGGAUGAUUGAAUCCAACUGUUAAAUUUUGCAUUUUAGAAAAGUAAAAUUACCAUGAUUUCAACUAGGCAUAUUUGGUAUGUAUCAGGUACAGGUAAAUGUUAUUAGUUAUGCCUGGAC